rnacentral:rRNA from 1 species
UCAAAAACAUGUCUUUUAGAAAAUAAUUUAAAGUCUAAUCUGCCCACUGAUAUAAAUAUUAAAGGGCUGCAGUAUAUUGACUGUACAAAGGUAGCAUAAUCAUUAGUCUUUUAAAUGGAGACUUGUAUGAAAGAUUUAAUGAAAUAUAAUCUGUCUCUUAAUUAAUAAUAAAAUUUUAUUUUUUAGUAAAAAAGCUAAAAUUUAUUUAAAAGACGAGAAGACCCUAUAGAGUUUUAUAUUUAUUUUAUUUAAAAUUAAAUAUUUAAUUUAUAUAAAAAAUAAAAUAAAUAUUAUAUUGGGGUGAUAGAAAAAUUUAUGAAACUUUUUUUAAAUUUUAAACAUUAAUAAAUGAUUAUAUGAUCCAUUAAUAAUGAUUAUAAGAAAAAAUUACCUUAGGGAUAACAGCGUAAUAUUUUUUUUUAGUUCAAAUAAAAAAAAAAGUUUGCGACCUCGAUGUUGGAUUAAAGAUAAAAAUUUAAAUGCAAAAGUUUAAAAUUUUGAUCUGUUCGAUCAUUAAAAUCUUACAUGAUC